rnacentral:rRNA from 1 species
ACGCUUGUUUUUGAGAUUAAGCCAUGCAAAUGUAAGUUUAACUUUUUAAAAGAGAAAACGGUGAUCGGCUCCAUAAAUCAAUUUUAAUUUAGAUGGGAUUGGAGGAUCGGCUGAGAAAAAGCUGAUCAACUAGAAGGAUAUUUAUGGUAAUUCUAUAAUUAAUACUUGAAAGACGAGGGAGCGGAGCUUUCGGGCGCCGUUCUUGGGAAUUGAAGAAAAAUCGGGGCGUUUCGGCGCAACGGUUCUGUUGAAUCAUUCAAUUCAUGUAGCUUGUGAGGCUUGCUUGAAAUAUUGAGCAGCCCGACCCAUUCAAGAUUUUGAUUUAUUAGGUUUAGUUGAGAGUGUAUUGGACUCUCAAGCCAAUAAUGAAUACGAGAAAUUAGAGUUUGAUUUCGGAGAGACCGCCUUAAAAACGGCGAUCACUUCUAAGGAAGGCAGCAGGUGCGCAAAUUAUUCAAUCGGGACGGAUCCGGAGAUAGUGACAAAAAAUAAGAAAAACCGAGUGCUUUCAAAGCGCUGGUUUAUUCCAAUGAAUUUAAGGUAAAAAUAUACUUAUGAGUAACAAGUAAAGGGCAAGUCUGGUGCCAGCAGCCGCGGUAAUUCCAGCUUUAUGAGUGUAUGUCAAAGUUGUUGUAGUUAAAAAGCUCGUAGUUGAAAUUGGGAGUUGUGCAGGCAACUGCAGCGGUGGCGUGUUUGGCGAGGCGUUUUGGUCGCAAGACCGGCGCAGCGCUCGCGUCACCAACAGCUCUUUUAAGUGGAGCGUCGAGUCUGCAAAGGCGCGGUGCUCUGGUUUAUUUUGAAAAAAUUGGACCGAUCAAAAGAGGAUUUUGAUUCAAAUCAAAACUUUUUUUAAUCUUUUAAACAUUUUAGCAUGAGAUAAUGGAAGAAGACAGUUGGUGCGGCGGCGAGCGAUCGUCGGCGCAAACAUGCAAUUGUAAUGAUGAAUAGGGAUAAUUUGGGAUAUAUAUAUUAAGAAGUUAGAGGUGAAAUUCUUGGAUUUUCUUAAGAUAAACAUAUGCGAAAGCAUUUAUCAAGGAUAUUUUCGUUGAUCAAGAACUAAAGAAUGAGGAUCGAAGAUGAUUAGAUACCGUUGUAGUUCAUUCUGUAAACAAUAAGAAGAAAAGAUAUGUGAACGAGGGGAAGUCGGCGGCGUGCCUCGCGCAGCGGUCGAUGAAACGUCU